AUUGAACGCUGGCGGCAGGCUUAACACAUGCAAGUCGAGCGAGCGGCGGACGGGUGAGCAAUGUCUGGGAAACGGCCUGAUGGAGGGGGAUAACUAAUGGAAACGGUAGCUAAUACCGCAUUCCAUCGGAUGUGCCGGAGUGGGAUUAGCUAGUAGGUGGGGUAAAGGCUCACCUAGGCGACGAUCCCUAGCUGGUCGGAGAGGAUGAACAGCCACACUGGAACUGAGACACGGUCCAGACUCCUACGGGAGGCAGCAGUGGGGAAUAUUGGACAAUGGGCGCAAGCCUGAUGCAGCCAUGCCGCGUGUGUGAAGAAGGCCUUCGGGUUGUAAAGCACUUUCAGCGGGGAGGCGUUACCAGCAGAAGAAGCACCGGCUAACUUCGUGCCAGCAGCCGCGGUAAUUC
rnacentral:rRNA from 1 species